GUUCAAGAAAAACAGCUAAUUAAACAAAUCCAAAGAUAAACCACAGAAUAGGUGUGUCAGUAUCUUUAAAUUAGCUAUUUUGUAAUCACCUACUUAAAAUCAGUUGUAGUGGUAAAUAUGUAUAUCCAGCAAUUUGCAUUACAUUUACAUACAAAUAAGCAGAUUUCAGUAAGGGUUGAAGCCACACUGCAAGCGUUUCCAG